rnacentral:rRNA from 1 species
UACGUAGGGUGCGAGCGUUAAUCGGAAUUACUGGGCGUAAAGGGUGCGCAGGCGGUCUCGUAAGCUGGGUGUGAAAGCCCCGGGCUUAACCUGGGAAUGGCAUUCAGGACUGCGAGGCUUUGAGUGUGGCAGAGGGAGGUGGAAUUCCACGUGUAGCAGUGAAAUGCGUAGAGAUCGGGAAGAACAUCAGUGGCGAAGGCGGCCUGCUGGGCUGUUGCUGACGCUGAGGCGCGACAGCGUGGGGAGCAAACAGG